AAUGGGCGCAAGCCUGAUGCAGCGACGCCGCGUGAGGGAUGACGGCCUUCGGGUUGUAAACCUCUUUCAACGCCGACGAAGCGUAAGUGACGGUAGGCGUAGAAGAAGCACCGGCCAACUACGUGCCAGCAGCCGCGGUAAUACGUAGGGUGCGAGCGUUGUCCGGAAUUACUGGGCGUAAAGAGCUCGUAGGUGGUUUGUCGCGUUGUCCGUGAAAACUCACAACUCAAUUGUGGGCGUGCGGGCGAUACGGGCAGACUGGAGUACUGCAGGGGAGACUGGAAUUCCUGGUGUAGCGGUGGAAUGCGCAGAUAUCAGGAGGAACACCGGUGGCGAAGGCGGGUCUCUGGGCAGUAACUGACGCUGAGGAGCGAAAGCGUGGGGAGCGAACAGGAUUAGAUACCCUGGUAGUCCACGCCGUAAACGGUGGGUACUAGGUGUGGGUUUCCUUCCUUGGGAUCCGUGCCGUAGCUAACGCAUUAAGUACCCCGCCUGGGGAGUACGGCCGCAAGGCUA
rnacentral:rRNA from 1 species